AUUGAACGCUGGCGGCAUGUCUUACACAUGCAAGUCGAACGGCAGCACGGGUGCUUGCACCUGGUGGCGAGUGGCGAACGGGUGAGUAAUACAUCGGAACAUGUCCUGUAGGGGGGGAUAGCCCGGCGAAAGCCGGAUUAAUACCGCAUACGAUCUACGGAUGAAAGCGGGGGACCUUCGGGCCUCGCGCUAUAGGGUUGGCCGAUGGCUGAUUAGCUAGUUGGUGGGGUAAAGGCCUACCAAGGCGACGAUCAGUAGCUGGUCUGAGAGGACGACCAGCCACACUGGGACUGAGACACGGCCCAGACUCCUACGGGAGGCAGCAGUGGGGAAUUUUGGACAAUGGGCGAAAGCCUGAUCCAGCAAUGCCGCGUGUGUGAAGAAGGCCUUCGGGUUGUAAAGCACUUUUGUCCGGAAAGAAAUCCUUGGCUCUAAUACAGUCGGGGGAUGACGGUACCGGAAGAAUAAGCACCGGCUAACUACGUG
rnacentral:rRNA from 1 species